rnacentral:rRNA from 1 species
AUUGAACGCUGGCGGCAGGCCUAACACAUGCAAGUCGAGCGGAGCGGCGGACGGGUGAGUAAUGCCUAGGAAUCUGCCUGUUAGUGGGGGAUAAGGUCCGGUAACGGGCGCUAAUACUGCAUACUAUCAGAUGAGACUAGGCCGGAUUAGCUAGGUGGUGGGGUAAAGGCCUACCAAGGCGACGAUCCGUAACUGGUCUUAGAGGAUGAUCAGUCACACUGGAACUGAGACACGGUCCAGACGCCUACGGGAGGCAGCAGUGGGGAAUAUUGGACAAUGGGCGAAAGCCUGAUGCAGCCAUGCCGCGUGUGUGAAGAAGGUCUUCGGAUUGUAAAGCACUUUAAGUUGGGAGGCGUUACCAACAGAAUAAGCACCGGCUAACUUCGUGCCAGCAGCCGCGGUAAUUC